CCGCUCGUAGCUCAGCUGGAUAGAGUACCGGAUUCCGAUUCCGUUGGUCGCAGGUUCGAAUCCUGUCGAGCGGGCCA
rnacentral:tRNA from 1 species